rnacentral:lncRNA from 1 species
AGACUGGCAGGUGGUUAUAGAGGUGUUUGGGGUGUCAGCUCUGAAAUGCUAAAAAUAAAACCAGGCUUUCUAUCCUGGGAUGUCUCAUUAGUUUGCUUACAAAUGAGUCCCCCUGCAGUUUUUCAGCAAUUGGCUAACAAGCUCUAAUUUGAGCGUUUGGGCUGGACCUUGGCUCAGUGGGAGCAGACGCGGAGCAGACGCCUUCUCGGAGCUGCCUGUUUGGGGAAGCUGGUCGUUUCCACUCUAGCUCAGCCUCCCAGAACAGGGAAGCUGCAGGAAAGUUGACAAAAGCACAGCAAAGCAGGGAGAGCCUCCUCGGUAGAGAGCAACGACCAGGUAUUUGGCUAGAAGUUAUCACUGAUACGUUUCCAGAACACAUGGAGGCCAAGGCAGACAAAAGUAAAGAUGGAAACCAGACCAGUAAAUAAGUCCUUUGAUGAACUUCUGAGUCUCUACAGAUGAAGGCAAAGCUCCCUCACAGUUGCAGGCAACGUCUCAUCUUUUGUCACUUCUGGCAUGACACUGCACAGCCACAGCCAGUACGGUAUCUCUGCCUUUGCCCAUGUCCUGCCUUCUUUCUCCCUGGUCGGUAUCUCCUCACCUCAACCAGCUUGGCCAGCUCCUUGGUCAUUGGGGUUGCACCCACCCAGGCAUGUGCCUGGCUCCGCACAACCUCAGAAGCUCUCAGUACAGUGCAGGACCAGAGGUUGAAACCAAUGAAAGGUUGUUAAAUAAAGAGAAAAUGUUUAAUGCUGAGAACAAAGACUAGGAAAGAGAUGUCUAAUAAGAAAUUUUACAGUGAAAUACCAUGUGUUGUGCUCUGUAACUUCGUCUCCAUCUCCCUAACAUAGUGUUUAGUGAAAUCUACAGUGCUCACUCAUGCUUUGUGGAGUCUGGGGGUGAAAGCUUGUAGAUAUCCAACAUUUGCAUAACACUAGAAAGUCCACUUUGCCCUCUCCGAGAAAAUCUAGUGAUCCUGCUGUUUAUAUCUGAUUCAGAUCCCUCAAUAAGAGUUCUCUUGGUCUCAUUUUCAUACUGAUCCUAAGAAGCAUUCACUAACUAGGCUGUACCUACCUAGUACAGCUCUGUCCAUAUGGUAGAUCUGCAAUAGAUUCUUGGGAUCUUAUGGUAAUUAGAUAGCACGCCUAUUCUGGAAUAGUGGC